GAUGAACGCUAGCGGCAGGCUUAAUACAUGCAAGUCGAGGGGCAACAGGGGUAGCAAUACCUGCUGGCGACCGGCAAACGGGUGCGGAACACGUACAGAACCUUCCUUUAAGUUGGAGAUAGCCCGGAGAAAUCCGGAUUAAUACCUAAUAGUAUUAUGGUGUGGCAUCACAUUAUAAUUAAAGCCUUGGCGCUUAGAGAUGGCUGUGCGUAUGAUUAGGUAGUUGGGCGGGUAACGGCCCACCAAGCCUUCGAUCAUUAACUGGUGUGAGAGCACGACCAGUCACACGGGCACUGAGACACGGGCCCGACU
rnacentral:rRNA from 1 species